rnacentral:rRNA from 1 species
ACGCUCGACACCUACGGGAAGCAGCAGUCGGGAAUAUUGCGCAAUGGAGGAAACUCUGACGCAGUGACGCCGCGUGCAGGAAGAAGGUUUUCGGAUUGUAAACUGCUUUAGACAGGGAAGAAAGAAAUGACAGUACCUAUAGAAUAAGCUCCGGCUAACUACGUGCCAGCAGCCGCGGUAAUCUGAGCGGGCUGGCAAGGC